rnacentral:rRNA from 1 species
CCUACGGGAGGCAGCAGUAGGGAAUAUUGCUCAAUGGGGGAAACCCUGAACCAGCAACGCCGCGUGGAGGAUGAAGGUUUUCGGAUUGUAAACUCCUUUUGUUAGAGAAGAUAAUGACGGUAUCUAACGAAUAAGCACCGUCUAACUCCGUGCCAGCAGCCGCGGUAAUACGGAGGGUGCAAGCGUUACUCGGAAGCACUGGGCGUAAAGCGCGCGUAGGCGGGUUAGCAGGUCAGAUGUGAAAUCCUAUGGCUUAACCAUAGAACGGCAUUUGAAACUGUUAUUCUAGAGUAUGGGAGAGGUAGGUGGAAUGCUUGGGGUAGGGGUAAAAUCCGUAGAGAUCAAGAGGAAUACUCAUUGCGAAGGCGACCUGCUGGAACAAAACUGACGCUGAGGCGCGAAAGCGUGGGGAGCAAACAGGAUUAGAUACCCUAGUAGUC